rnacentral:piRNA from 1 species
UAAGUGAGGUUCCUAUAGAAUGUCUAGCAC